rnacentral:rRNA from 1 species
GUGCCAGCCGCCGCGGUAAUACGGAGGGUCCAAGCGUUAUCCGGAUUCACUGGGUUUAAAGGGUGCGCAGGCGGCCAAGUAAGUCAGUGGUGAAAGCCUUCGGCUCAACCGGAGAAUUGCCAUUGAAACUACUUGGCUUGAGUGCAGCAGAGGUAGGCGGAAUGUAGCAUGUAGCGGUGAAAUGCAUAGAUAUGCUACAGAACACCGAUAGCGAAAGCAGCUUACCACACUGUAACUGACGCUGAGGCACGAAAGCAUGGGUAGCAAACAGGAUUAGAAACCCUGGUAGUCC